GCAUACACUAUGAUUACUGCUCCGCUUCUGUCAUAUGGUUUGUCAUCUGAAUUAUGCUACUGGGUCUCCGUAAAUGUGCUAUAUUUUAUUUUUGCAUUAGUUUCUCACUACUCCACUCGUGGAUGCCUCAAUGUUUCCUUUACUGAGCCCGGGCCAGGAUAUGUUAUCACGCGUAUUCCACUGCAUUGUUCGCCGCACCUCGAUGUGAGGGGGCAGGUAUACAUGUACAUGGGUUGUGGAGUAUGAUGUGCCAUGUACACCUAUUCUGAUAUAUGAUGAUAUGAUAUGAUAUGGCCAUCUGAUAUGUUUGACAUGUGCACAUUCUGAUAUGAUAUGUUACGGAGUUAUUCCCUACUCUGGAGUUAUGCUGUGUUGUGGCGCCAGUGUCGGGGUGGCGACCACGUUCUGUUCACCGAGUCCCUUGGCGGGGGCCGGAUAUGAUAUGGCAUAUGUUUCUGCAUACACUCUUUGUGUUCUGGAAAUAUGCAUCUGAUAAUCUGGAUAUUAUACUCAUUUUUCUGUACGUUCUGUUCCGGUCAUGAUUUUAUUCCGUAAUGGGACCAGAUAUGGCAUACGUUUUCUGCAUGCACUAUUUAUGCUUUAUGAUCAGCAUUUUGCUAUUCUGUAUAUUCCGUUCAUUUUCUAUACCUUCUGCUUCGGUUAUUGUUAUGUCCCGUGUUUUCGUAUAAUUGGAAAUCGAGAAAUAAACAAGACUUGUGUGUUAUAAGGAAAUAUUUUUGAUUUUGGUGAAUAUGACUAUGUUGGUUAUGGAAUCAUAGAUGUUAAGACAUCGGGGAAGGCCGAGGGUAAAUUUGGAAUUUCAGAAAUUAGUUUCGGGAAUUAUAAAACGGGACUUUUAAUGAAUUGGGCCAAGAAAAUUGAAUAUAAAAUUGAGGCCCAAAGUUUGUGGGGUGGCCGGCCACUAGGUUGGCCCAAACCCAUUUUUAAAUGUCAUGUGCUAUGCACAUGACUCCUUGUGAUGGAUAUAUAUCAAGUCUUGACUUGUAGUUAUCAAGUAUUAGAUCAAAACAAAAAAAAUAUUGUAGAGCUCAAAAAAAAAUCCCCUCUCGGCCGAACCCUAUAGGAAAAGAAAAAAAAAUUUCCAAGCUUGGUUGUUGAUCCAAAAAUCCUAAUUUCUACAUAGUUGUGAAGUACUCAAGGCCCUCUUCAACGGGGUAUAAUUAGUUUGGCACAAGAACCUCGUUUGCGACAAGUCGGAAAUUCAAGAAAAGGUAAGAAUUUUGCCCCUCUAAAUGUUAUAGAAUUGAUAUAAAUGUGUUAAGGAUUGGGAAUAGACGAGAAUUCCGUAACUUUGGUGUAUAUAGAAAGCCGUGGGUGUGUGUGUAUAUUGCAUGUUGGCCGUGAGCCCUAGGAAGAAGAAAGUGGUGUGAAUUGAUCUUGUUUAGUUGGUAUAAUGUGUUGUUGUGAUCUUUAUGUCGUAAAUGAUCGAUUGAUGAAUUAAAUUGGCGUUGGAAAAUGAUUUCGGACAUUAUUGGAAAGCGUAUACCUUUGGUAUCAUUGUGAAUAUCAUUGUAUAUUUAGGGUGUUAAAGACUUUAAAUAUGAAUUUAUAGUUGAUGUUAAUGAAGUCGGAAUGAAACGACGCAAGUUAGAAUGUUUGUUGUAAGUUUUGGUGUUUUGGGAGAAUUAUAGAAAGUAAUGGAUUUUGGGCAAUUUCGUGUAUGGCUUGGAAUGUAUUUUGAAUGUGAUGGCAUAAUCUUGAAUGAGUGAAUGAAUACAAUAAUAUUGAUAUAGAUUUGAAAUUUUGAAGUUUGAAUGAAAGAUUUCCAACUUGUGUAGUAAGGUAGGCUUUUGAAGUUCGAAUAUGGUUUAUAUUGUUGAAUGAUGUUUGGGUUGUGGUUGUUGAUGUAUUCUGAGCCGAGCUAAGCCUCGGGGAUGUUAGAUUUAUAGGGGAAAUGCUGCCGAAAUUUCGGUAGGCAAGAAUGAAGUUAAAGGCAUUUUUAAGCCUAAGAGUCUCAAUUGGUAACUUUGACCAUUUGCAGAUUUCAGACAAAACGGGACUUGACUUUUGGGAGAGCAUACGACGUCUGUAAGGUGCAGAUAUUGGUGAUCCUCCACUGUAGGCUUCACUCUUUGCUACUUCGGAGUACUCCUUCUUGACUCGGAGUCCCCUUUUGGGAUGCCUCCGAAGAAGGCAACGACGGCCCAGAAGGGCAAAGCGAGGAUGGGAGAGACUAGUCAGGCACAGCGCGCUACCCGGGCUCGUGUCUAUGAUUUGCCCGAGGUUGUACCUCAUUCUGAGGGGUCUGCUACACCCCCAUUAGUACAGCCUGGAGCAGGACCUUCAGCAGCUCCAGAGGUCCGUGUACCCGCUCCUGAGACUCCAGCUCCUCAGCCAGGGGCGGAGGAUAGGACCCUGAGGGAGGCUGUACAGUUGCUGACUACACUAGUAGCAGGUCAGGCUCGCAGGCGCGGGCGGAGGGACGAUGAUGACGAUGACAGGCGGGACAGCCUGAGAGUUCGGGAGUUUCUAUUAUGUGGCCCUCCAGAGUUUUUCGGGUCUAAGCCCGAUGAGGACCCCCAUGACUUUAUUCGGGGGAUCCGGCGCUCACUGGACUUGGUCAGGGCUUCAGAGACCGAGUCAGUCGAGCUGGCUUCGCACAGACUUCGAGAUGUUGCUACCCACUGGUACGAGACUUGGGAGUUGUCUAGGGGAGAGGGUGCCCCUCCAGCCACUUGGUAUCAGUUUGUGACAGCAUUCACCCGCCACUUUCUGCCGCCAGUGUUACGACGGGAGCGAGCUGAUCGGUUUUUACAUUUGCAGCAGAGGGGUCGAAGCGUUCGUGAAUAUAAUUUGGAGUUUGAUUCCCUGGCCCGGUACGCACCUGCCGUGGUAGCUGAUAUGUCUGAUCGGAUGCAUAGAUAUGUUAUGGGGUUGGAUCAUUACCUGAUUGACGGCUGUAUGGCGGUGUCAUUGCAGACAGUUAUGGACAUUGCCCGUCUACAGGCCUACGCCCAGGGGAUGGAGAACCGGCACCGAGCAGAUCGGCCCAGCCGAGAGUAUGAUGGGAGACGGCCCAAGAGGGCCAGAUCAGCGGGGUAUCCUAGAGAUUCUUGGGGCGGGCAGCCUCAGUAUCAGUCCAGUGGAUACUUCCCUCCGUUAGGCCGGGACACGCAGUCUACUGAUAAGCGAUUGGAUAGUGCGGGACCGUCUGGGGCCGGUCAGAGCCCCAGGGUGGCAGGUUCACAGGUAUCCAGGGGUCCCAGCCAUGCCAGACCACCCAGGCCCCUUUGUUCUCAUUGCGGGAAGUCUCAUCCUGGGGAGUGCUAUCGAGCGAUUGGAGCUUGUUUUUCUUGUGGUGGUCAUGGCCACUUUAUGAGAGACUGUCCGUUGGCUAGCGGUUCUGGUAGUGUGGCUCAGCCGACGGGGUCAGCCGCCGGUUCAUCAUCUGCUCCAUCUGUUGCACGCCCUGGAGGGCGAGGUAUGCCAGCACCGGCAGGACGCGGUCGAGGCCGCGGUGGCGGUUCAGAUUCUAGCGGUCCCUCGAACCGCAUAUACGCUUUGACUGGUCGGCGUGACCCAGAGGCAUCACCAGACGCAGACCCAGGUGCAGAUAUUGGUGAUCCUCCACUAUAGGCUUCACUCUUUGCUACUUCGGAGUACUCCUUCUUGACUCAGAGUCCCCUUUUGGUACAGACGACAGAUUUGCUGAUCCGCCUGCUUAGGACUAUAUUCUGCUAUCUUGGAGUGAUCUAUUGUUCAGAGCCUACGUUUUGGUACAGUCUUUUGCCAUUGUACAUAUGUAUGCUAUUCGGGGGUACGACGGGGCCCUGUCCCGUCUAAUGAUUCUGAUGUGUUCUGUAGAGGUCUGUAGACAUACAUGUGGGUUGUGUAUAUGUUUUGGGUUACUAUGUUCUAUGAUAGCCUUAUCGGCUUCCGUGCGAUAUGUCUGUUUGUCUACGAUAAUUAGUAAAGCCAUUCGACUCCCGUAUCUGUAUAUUCUGCUUAUAUUCUGGUUUGGGUUGUUGGGUACGUAUGGGUGUCCAGCACGGACACUA